rnacentral:lncRNA from 1 species
UUUAAAUUGCAUAAAGUUUUGUGCAUUUUUCAAUCAGUAAACCAAUGAAAUACGAUAAAAAAACAAUAAUCAUACUCAUCUCUCUCAUGUAGUAAAACUCAACCAAAAAUGUAUCCGAAACUUACAAGGUAUUCCAAGAUAUCAAAUAAAAGACUCAAGGUUUCAAAAGAAAAAUGAACAUACAUGAAUUAAAGAACACCAAAAUCCAAGAACAAAAACACAAUUUUCAAAAACUAAGCGAAAAAAAAAAACAAAUCACAAACUUAAAUGAAAACUAAAACAAAAAGAAUAAUGUAUAUCACCAAAAUGUCCCCUACACCAAAGCUCUACUUUGUCCUCAAUGUAGAACAAAGCAGACAGCUCAC